CAACUUGACGACGACAAAGUUGCCUUCAUGCAAGAGCUCCGCGACAUUCGCGACGAGUGCCCCGGACCGUGGAUGUUGUGCGGGGACUUCAACCUCAUAUAUCGCGACGAGGACAAAAACAACGAGAACGUCAACCGCCGCAUGAUGGGUCGCUUUCAAUGCGUGCUCAACGACCUAGCUCUCAAAGAAGUGUACCUCAGCGGGAGACGCUACACUUGGUCGAAUGAGCAGUCGCCUCCGACCCUUGUCCACCUCGACCGGGUGCUUUGCACCAAGGACUGGGAGGAGCUUCAUAACGCGUGCUUCCUACGCUGCCUCGCCUCCGUCGUCUCCGACCACAGCCCCCUGCUCCUGGACUGCUCUCCGAUAGCGCCUCCACACCGA
rnacentral:rRNA from 1 species